CGGUAAGUUUCGUAGUCCGUGGCGUCAGGACGAACGCUGGCGGCGUGCCUAAUACAUGCAGGUCGAACGCGACUGACAGAGAAACUUGUUUUCUCUUGACGUGAGUGGCGCACGGGUGAGUAACACGUGGGAAACCUACCCUUCAGCGGGGGAUAACCGUCGGAAACGAUGGCUAAUACCGCAUAGGUCUUUUAACCGCCUGGUUGAAAGAGGAAAGACGGCUUCGGCUGUCACUGAAGGAUGGUCCCGCGGUGCAUUAGCUGGUUGGUAAGGUAACGGCUUACCAAGGCGAUGAUGCAUAGCCGACCUGAGAGGGUGAUCGGCCACAUUGGGACUGAGACACGGCCCAAACUCCUACGGGAGGCAGCAGUAGGGAAUCUUCCGCAAUGGACGCAAGUCUGACGGAGCAACGCCGCGUGUGUGAAGAAGGUCUUCGGAUCGUAAAGCACUGUUAUUAGAGAAGAACAACCGGUAGAGUAACUGUUACCGGCUUGACGGUAUCUAACCAGAAAGCCACGGCUAACUACGUG
rnacentral:rRNA from 1 species